AUUAAUUUCAAUUAAAAAUAUAUCUUUAUGAAAAAUUAUUUUUCAUUAAAAAUUAUGCUCUUGAAGCACGUUAUUUCGCACAUAAUCAAAAUAUAGAAGCCUUCAUCUUCGCUCUUUCUAUUGUGUUCCUUCAUCCACUAAAUCGUUCUUUUGCUGCUGAGGUAGAUAGUGAUGGAAAUAUCCACGAUGCUCAGACGUUUCCUUCUUUAAAACCCCUCCUCAAGAUCAGAUCUCCCAAUCCAUAUUUGUCCCUCUGGCCCUCGAAUUUUGCUGGUGACUAGCUCCUUUUGAAGGCGUAUGAACUUUCUCUUGGAUUUCCUCUACUAGCUUCAUGUGUAUUGCACUUCAUCCAUCCUUGCUCUGGUAAUAUCAUUCAUCAUCGCUAUGGUAAUAUCAUCCAUUGUCGCUCUGGUUUUCCUGUCAAGUGAUUACAUUUAUUCAGUAAGUGAUGAAGGGAAGACCUAUAUCGUAUGCUUGGAAAAGAAGACUUGCAAUUGCAACAGGUUUCAGUUGACGGAAUAUUGUGCGCACAUGCGUUUGGAGGGUGUUGAACAAAAAAACAUUCUUCCAGAUGAACAUUGUUCAGACUUUUACAAGCCAGAAAUAAUAUUGUAAACAUAUGAAGUGUCUGUGUAUCCUCAUCCAAAGUGAAUGGAAUAUACCUGAACACAUUUCUACUAAAAUUGUUUUGCCACCAAAAUACAAACGACCUCCGAAAAGGCCACAGAACCAACAGGAGAAGUCAUUUAGCGAGUUAACUUAAAGGAGAGUACGAAUUAUUGUAGUACAUGUGGAAAACGUGGUCAUAAAUAGGAAGUUCAUGUCGAAUUGCACGGAAUACAUAGGACCUGAUACAUGCCAUUAUUGAAGUGUAUUUUAACUUAAUUAUUGUUAUGUCGAAUAAAUGAAUAAAAAAAAAAUCUUAUUUUUCUUUUAAAA